UGGGGCGUGGUCCAACCGGUAGGACACUGCACUGUUAAUGCAGAUGGUGCUGGUUCGAAUCCAGCCGCCCCAGCCA
rnacentral:tRNA from 1 species